rnacentral:tRNA from 1 species
AGAAAAGUAAGCUAAAUAAAGCUAAUGGGUUCAUACCCCAUAAAUAGAGUAAGCAACUCUCUUCUCUG